CAUAAACGGUGCCGCAUCAUUGCCACGUACUUAUAGUAUAUGAUAUAACCUGAGCAUUGUCCAAUUUGCACGUGAUUUCACACGAAAAAACAUUUACGGUACACGUUUAUCAAGCUUUUCUUUAACACAGCGCGGCGGCUCCGAAAUGUUUGUUAAAACCGAACAAAUGAAAAAAGGUUCUUGGAAGUUUCUUUAUUGAAAACUAGCUUUUGGUAGCGGCUUCGCUCGUGUGAAAGAUAAAAGGAGCGAUUUCGUCAUGCAUUAUUGUGAGAAUGAGUUCCUGGAUUCGGCAGCGAUGGAUCAAGAUAGGUAAACAGCGAUCGUCUUGAAACGAACGAACAAGACGAACUUAUUCCUUUCAGCUUCAGUCUUCGAAACGUCAAGAGCAAAUUAUAAUAUUAAA